UGGAGAGAGAGCCUGGCUGCCGCGGCGGCGAUCCUGGCAACGGGAUGGCUGUACAACGCGGACUACCCCCUCGGGGUAGCCCGCGCUCUUACCGUUGGCCACCCCUCCGGGUUGCCCAACGCUCUUAACGUUGCCCGACUCCCCGAGUCGCGCAACGCUCGCGAGGAAAGUCCCCCCACCUGUUCGGGCAGGUGACCGGACGCAAGUCCGGAGCGGGAGACCGCUGGCUCUGGAACAGAAACGACACGUCUCGGCCCGACCGAUGAUGCGUGCGAACCCGACCGAGAGGAAGGGGAGUCAACCCGCAGAGGGAAGGCGACUCAAAGCGCCUCUGGCGCGCGAGCCGCCGAGCGGUGUGUGGUCCGCGUUCACGGUUCGAAACCGUGGAUCGUGCUCGUCACGAUCGAUCACACAGAGACGGCCGAGGAUCGAUGGAACGGCGAACCCUCACCGGUGCAAGUCCACGCCGUGGUAGCCCGAACGCCCACGGCUUUGCCGUGACGGCGUGGACGCUCAGCCGAAUGCCGGGAUGAACAGAAGGGGGCUUACUCCUCUCACCA
rnacentral:RNase_P_RNA from 1 species